ACACGAUGAUAAUGAUGAUGGUGGUGAUGACAGUUAUAGUGAGGUGCUGAUGCUGCUGACGAUGAUGCAUCAUCAUCAUCAUCAUCAUCAUCAUCAUAUACA
rnacentral:miRNA from 1 species